AUUAACUGAAUCCAUAGGUUAAUGAGGCGAACCGGGGGAACUGAAACAUCUAAGUACCCCGAGGAAAAGAAAUCAACCGAGAUUCCCCCAGUAGCGGCGAGCGAACGGGGAGGAGCCCAGAGCCUGAAUCAGCAUGUGUGUUAGUGGAAGCGUCUGGAAAGGCGCGCGAUACAGGGUGACAGCCCCGUACACAAAAGCGCAUGUGCUGUGAGCUCGAUGAGUAGGGCGGGACACGUGGUAUCCUGUCUGAAUAUGGGGGGACCAUCCUCCAAGGCUAAAUACUCCUGACUGACCGAUAGUGAACCAGUACCGUGAGGGAAAGGCGAAAAGAACCCCGGCGAGGGGAGUGAAAAAGAACCUGAAACCGUGUACGUACAAGCAGUGGGAGCACAGGUUUACCUGUGUGACUGCGUACCUUUUGUAUAAUGGGUCAGCGACUUAUAUUCUGUAGCAAGGUUAACCGAAUAGGGGAGCCGGAGGGAAACCGAGUCUUAAU
rnacentral:rRNA from 1 species